rnacentral:rRNA from 1 species
AAUAGAUACCCGGGUAGUCCACCCCGUAAACGUUGGGAACUAGUUGUGGGGUCCUUUCCACGGAUUCCGUGACGCAGCUAACGCAUUAAGUUCCCCGCCUGGGGAGUACGGCCGCAAGGCUAAAACUCAAAGGAAUUGACGGGGACCCGCACAAGCGGCGGAGCAUGCGGAUUAAUUCGAUGCAACGCGAAGAACCUUACCAAGGCUUGACAUACACCGGAAACGGCCAGAGAUGGUCGCCCCGCAAGGUCGGUGUACAGGUGGUGCAUGGUUGUCGUCAGCUCGUGUCGUGAGAUGUUGGGUUAAGUCCCGCAACGAGCGCAACCCUCGUUCUAUGUUGCCAGCACGUAAUGGUGGGAACUCAUGGGAUACUGCCGGGGUCAACUCGGAGGAAGGUGGGGAUGACGUCAAAUCAUCAUGCCCCUUAUGUCUUGGGCUUCACGCAUGCUACAAUGGCCGGUACAAAGGGCUGCAAUACCGUGAGGUGAGCGAAUCCCAAAAAGCCGGUCCAGUUCGGAUUGAGGUCUGCAACUCGACCUCAUG